AACGAACGCUGGCGGCAUGCCUAACACAUGCAAGUCGAACGAGACCUUCGGGUCUAGUGGCGCACGGGUGCGUAACGCGUGGGAAUCUGCCCUUGGGUUCGGAAUAACAGUGAGAAAUUACUGCUAAUACCGGAUGAUGACUUCGGUCCAAAGAUUUAUCGCCCAAGGAUGAGCCCGCGUAGGAUUAGGUAGUUGGUGGGGUAAUGGCCUACCAAGCCGACGAUCCUUAGCUGGUCUGAGAGGAUGAUCAGCCACACUGGGACUGAGACACGGCCCAGACUCCUACGGGAGGCAGCAGUGGGGAAUAUUGGACAAUGGGCGAAAGCCUGAUCCAGCAAUGCCGCGUGAGUGAUGAAGGCCUUAGGGUUGUAAAGCUCUUUUACCAGGGAUGAUAAUGACAGUACCUGGAGAAUAAGCUCCGGCUAACUCCGUGCCAGCAGCCGCGGUAAGUAUCGUACG
rnacentral:rRNA from 1 species